GUACCACCUAUAAUCGUUUUAAUCGAUGGGGGGACGCAGUAGGAUAGGCGAAGCGUGCGAUUGGAUUGCACGUCUAAGCAGUAAGGCUGAGUAUUAGGCAAAUCCGGUACUCGUUAAGGCUAAGCUGGGAUGGGGAGAAGACAUUGUGUCUUCGAGUCGUUGAUUUCACACUGCCGAGAAAAGCCUCUAGAUAGAAAAUAGGUGCCCGUACCGCAAACCGACACAGGUAGUCAAGAUGAGAAUUCUAAG
rnacentral:rRNA from 1 species